CUUGUGGAUGGGAAAAGUUCUAGAAAUUACGCUUUGAAAAUAUAUUUAGGACAGGCGAUGUGUCUUAUUAUUUUACAUUUGCACAAGGGAAGAGAAGAAACUGCUCGUUGUAUAACGAUGAAAAUAGGGCAGAUGAAAUGCAUCGAAUCCAUUUUCUUCUCAGGAGAAAGCAGAAAACAAAAAAGUGCUCGGCAGAAGAAAAGAGGAAAACAGUAGCCAUCAACAAUUCAUGUAGAGAAAUUUUCAAUCACAACGCAAACUAUGCUAAUAACCCAACCACCACAUUAUCUACAUAUGUGACAUUUUAAAUGAUGAAAAGAUAUUUAAUACUGUAAUUCUUGAACACAUGUAUAUUCCAGACAUGUCUCGUUACUCUUAAACUGGAACAAAUUUUUAAUGCAUAGCACAUGUGGAGUCUAAUUGAAGACGGGUUACUAGCUACUAAAGGAGAUUUUUCUUCAUCGUUUUAGCCUUUUAUACCCAGGCGGUAAUUAUUCGAGCAUUGCACUAGUGCAUCAUGGUUCCCUGUUCAUUUAAGAUGUGGUCAGUGGCAAUGAAAUGGGAAAGUCAGCUCACCAGAAGAAACGUUUUUUAUAAUCUAUGACUAAAAUUCUUCAACAAGAAAUGGGUUUUAAAUUUUUUAAAGCAUCAUGUCUGUCAACCAAUCUUGUCUUAAUCGAAUCAAGGAAAGUGAAACAACACAAAAAUGAAAUAAUCCUUAAAACGCGAUUACAUAGGAAUGAGUCAUGUCUUAAUGACAACGUCACAAGCGAUGAAAUACUGAUGAACUAAGACACGCAACAAACACUACAGAAAGGAAAAAUUCAACAUUCUUAUACACCUCACACACCAUGUAGUUUUUGAGCUGUUUGAAGUCGCAUUUAGCAAGAUAGUGUUGUGUUAGCAACCUAAAAACAGAUUCAAAAAUUACAAAUGUAAACAACUCUUGGGCAUAAAUGAUAAAGAAACAGGAAAACGCUUUACUUAUGUAAAUAGAAGCUAAGUAGAAUAAGAGAGAUAACUGCUCAAAGUGGCCAAAUGAAGCGCAUUUCUUGCAGAGACUAACUGAAGACGAGUGAUAUGAUCGUGUCACUUAUUGAGAAAAGCACACUAUCUGAAAUUGACAAUUAUCAAGGAAUGAAAAAAUUCUUUCUGGAAUUAACUUUCACCUUGAAUUAUAUUUCGUGCAGACGUAUAGAAAAAACACGAGAGGGAAACAAAUAGAAAAAGACCAUUUAUAGAUUAUAUUUUAUGAAUAUUUUUUACAGGAUUCGAAUAAUUUCCAUACAGUUAAAUUCUCGAACGGAUCAACAUAAAUAUUCCGACAAAUUUACCAUAAACGCGCACGAUUUGUAAGGUGACGAUGUAUGAUGUAAAACUUGGGGUGAUGAAACAGAAGACAUUAAAAACACGGUGUUAUUAAAAAAAAA